AAGACUUGAGGGGGCUAUUGUUUCGGUCUAGACUUUUGCCUCAUACAAGACCAUGAUACAAGGCCAAUACUUUAAAACAAUAUAAGUUUAAGGGGUUACUUUCCCAUUCUAAUGGGUGCUUUUGCACCAUUCUGAAAAACUAAAAAUAUCCUUAAAUUUUAGAAAUUCAUUUCUAAACGCAAAACAUUCAUCUCAUUCAUUUAUAAGUGAGUCACACUUUCAUUUUGUAAAAAAAAAAUCAAAAAUAUACUUUCAUAAGUGUUUUA
rnacentral:lncRNA from 1 species